rnacentral:lncRNA from 1 species
UUAAAAGUUAUGGCGUUCUAGUUAAAGUGCACCUCCUUAUCUUCUAUUCUCCUUCUCCUCCCGUGUUGCAAGCCUCACUAGUUUGUUCCUGAUCUGUUGAGGUCCUUUUCUCCUCUUCUAGCUGGUAAAGAAAAGCAGGAGGAGAGGAUCAAGAGAUUGUGGCAGCGAGCAAACCUCCCGUGAACAAGUUAUACAAUGAUCCUCGACAUGCAGGCUGUCCUCAGUGGUGUACGGCCGGCCCGGCUGGACGAGCACACAAGAGGAUUGAAUAUUGACCAACAAGGAACUAUCCAAGAUGACUAUGAGAAGUUACUAACUCAUGAUAUUAAUGUCCAAUUCCUUCAAGUACUGGCCCCAGGUAUUGUUCAUCCUAUAAUUGCUCCUCUAACAAGACUGGUAGUGCCACUAAUGUGUAUCCUUCAGUUAGUACUCCUUCUGGUGACAAAUCACUUGCUGAUGGGGUGGGCAUUAAUAAGAGUUUCAAAAUAGAGGAUUUGGGACUUGUGUGGUAGAUGGUGGAUUCACUGCAUCACUUCUUAUAUCCAGAUGGUUGUCAGUUGUAUGCUCCUGAGAGGGAGCCAGCCUGUGUUCCUCUUGUCCUUACUAAUAUCCUUGGUACUUGUACUUAUGCCAUGGCUAUCAAGUCCAUACGUCAAUUCUUCAUUGAAAAGGUACUCCGACUAACAGUAAACUGAUAUACCUCCCAACGGUCAUUGUAAUGAUCUCAAGGAUGCCUUACUUUAGACUCUUGAAGGAAGCACUAUCUGGGAAGUAACUAUACCUGCAUAGUUGUUCAUCACCAACAAUCAUUAUGCCACCCAGAGGAGAUCUUCAUCUUUUACACAAGUAUACACAUUGUAGGUAGAGGUAUUCAGAAGAUACUGAAGGUGUGGCCACAGACCAGUGCCCCGCCCCCCUCAGACUCACUACUUGAUGUUAGCACCAAUCCCAGUACAGAUUGGACUCAAUAGGUCAAUGGAAAUGAAAGAGAGGGACAGAAUGGGGACAUCAUUCAUUCUAUCAAAGGAUGUGGUAUCUUGUGAGGCCAGUCAUUCUCUGGCAGUGUGUGUCUUACUGGGUGUCUGGUCUAUGACUAUUGAGCUAUUGGGACGGGUCUGUCUCAGGUCAGUUGGUAAACUCAAGCACUCAAUAUUCAACCAGUUGCAAGAUGUGUCUUGAAUGGGAGGAGACUCUGUUGUUGCUAUAGCAAGUUCAUUUAGGCUCUGAUGAGGACUUUAUUAAUGGACAAUAUGUGACCAAAAAUGUGCGUAUUACUUUUAAUUUUGACUGGUUUUUUAUUUUUUAAUGAUAAUUUAAAACAUUUCUAACUAAUAAUAUUGGUAAAUAAUGUGUCUAAGUGACUAGUGCCCUCUACUUGACAUGCCUUAUUAUUAAGUUAUUGUAUUACAGAAAAGCGAGCA